rnacentral:rRNA from 1 species
UGGAGAGUUUGAUCCUGGCUCAGAUUGAACGCUGGCGGCAGGCCUAACACAUGCAAGUCGAGCGGUAACAUUUCUAGCUUGCUAGAAGAUGACGAGCGGCGGACGGGUGAGUAAUGCUUGGGAACAUGCCUUGAGGUGGGGGACAACCAUUGGAAACGAUGGCUAAUACCGCAUGAUGUCUACGGACCAAAGGGGGCUUCGGCUCUCGCCUUUAGAUUGGCCCAAGUGGGAUUAGCURGUUGGUGAGGUAACGGCUCACCAAGGCGACGAUCCCUAGCUGGUUUGAGAGGAUGAUCAGCCACACUGGAACUGAGACACGGUCCAGACUCCUACGGGAGGCAGCAGUGGGGAAUAUUGCACAAUGGGCGCAAGCCUGAUGCAGCCAUGCCGCGUGUGUGAAGAAGGCCUUCGGGUUGUAAAGCACUUUCAGCAAGGAGGAAAGGUUAGUAGUUAAUACCUGCUAGCUGUGACGUUACUUGCAGAAGAAGCACCGGCUAACUCCGUGCCAGCAGCCGCGGUA